rnacentral:rRNA from 1 species
CCUACGGGGAGGCAGCAGUGGGGAAUAUUGGACAAUGGGGGCAACCCUGAUCCAGCCAUGCCGCGUGAGUGAUGAAGGCCUUCGGGUUGUAAAGCUCUUUUGGCGGGGACGAUGAUGACGGUACCCGCAGAAUAAGCCCCGGCUAACUUCGUGCCAGCAGCCGCGGUAAGACGAAGGGGGCUAGCGUUGUUCGGAAUUACUGGGCGUAAAGCGCGUGUAGGCGGUUUGCCAAGUCGGGUGUGAAAGCCUUGGGCUUAACCCAAGAAAUGCACUCGGUACUGGCAGACUAGAGGACCGGAGAGGAUAGUGGAAUUCCCAGUGUAGUGGUGAAAUACGUAGAGAUUGGGAAGAACACCAGUGGCGAAGGCGGCUAUCUGGACGGUUUCUGACGCUAAGACGCGAAAGCGUGGGGAGCAAACAGGAUUAGAUACCCUGGUAGUCCACGCCGUAAACGAUGGGUGCUAGACGUUGGCGAGCUUGCUCGUCAGUGUCGCAGCUACGACGUAGCACCCGCCGUCGGGAGGUACGGCCGCGAGUAGAACGUACGAAAGAAGUAGACGGCGUGAGAACGUGCCGACGGACGACGACGAGGGAGAGG